GGUUGCUAUGGCCGGAGCCCCGCGUGGCGACGCCCCGGUGCCGUACGCACGCGCGAGCAGAACGGGAGACCCGUCCGCCAUGGACGGCCCCACCUCUGCUGAGUUAACCAAUCAUAGGGAGACUCUGAAUGAUUGGCGUUUCUGUCGGCCAAUGGUCCCUUGGAGGCACUAGAUAUGCCAGGAGUGUCCAGAUCAUGGGUCCGCUGAUCUUGUGACAGAGUGGAGCAGUGGCACUCAGCUCAGAACCAGAUGUCAAGAAUAUCUAAUCUCAGCUGUUUGGUGACUGCAUGACUCCUACAGCGCAGGACGCUUGCCAUCUAAAUCCAAGAGUGUGGGCUUCACAACAGAGGAUGGCUUGCUGAGGGGACUGGUUAGGCUCUUCUCUUGAGCAUAGCUUCCUCUAUUCUGUGGAUGCCCAGCAAACCUCAGCUUCUGCUUCGUGCAAAGGACUGUGCUUCCCGUGGUAUGGCUUCUCUCACA